ACUGUUUUGGGGAAAGGACAACAAGGAAGCUGGGUUGUCACUGGGAUCUUCCUGCACAGCUUCCUCGUGAAACCUGUAGUGGUGCUGGCAGCUGGGAUGUGACAUCACUCCAACCACAGCAUCACUGCAAGGCAUGGAUGGAAGCUGCAGGAAGUGUACCGUGAUCUCAGGAGACCCACUGAACCCCAGGGGGAGGAUUCACUGGGUCCCCCCAGCUCUUCCAGAGAUAGUAGGGAGACUGGGGUGAACUUAGACAAAAAUCACUGUAAUUCUGCAGGAACAGUCAUGUUUUCAUUUCAGGGUUAGGCUGCUUCCUCCAAAACAGCAGAUUAAAAUUCCACUAUAUCAAUCAGACAGUCACAUGAGUAGCAUGGAGGUGGAACAGCACAACAGAGACCAGUGGUGUGAGGGAGAAAAGGUAAGUAGACUCAAAAGCCUUGCAGUGGGGGUCCAGUCACCUAAACAGUGACUAGGGCAAUAGCGCAUUAGGAAUACACAUUUGUAUCUCUAACGCUAUAGUGUUCCAUAAGAUCCGGCAAUCCCACAUAAGGAUAGCAAACAUAAGGGUAUUGCAGGUACAUCUCACUUUAGUGAAUAAUACUCUACGUGUUUCAGCCUGCCAAAGGCACAUUUUGUGAUGCAUUGCAGCUUAAAGGGACAUUCUGGACUCCUAAAGCACUUUAGCU